UGGCUCAGAUUGAACGCUGGCGGCAGGCUUAACACAUGCAAGUCGAACGGUAACAUAAAGAAGCUUGCUUCUUUGAUGACGAGUGGCGGACGGGUGAGUAAUGCUUGGGAAUCUAGCUUAUGGAGGGGGAUAACUACGGGAAACUGUAGCUAAUACCGCGUAAUAUCGAAAGAUUAAAGUGUGGGACCUUCGGGCCACAUGCCAUAGGAUGAGCCCAAGUGGGAUUAGGUAGUUGGUGAGGUAAAGGCUCACCAAGCCGACGAUCUCUAGCUGGUCUGAGAGGAUGACCAGCCACACUGGGACUGAGACACGGCCCAGACUCCUACGGGAGGCAGCAGUGGGGAAUAUUGCGCAAUGGGGGCAACCCUGACGCAGCCAUGCCGCGUGAAUGAAGAAGGCCUUCGGGUUGUAAAGUUCUUUCGGUAGCGAGGAAGCAUUUAGUUUAAUAGACUAGGUGAAUUGACGUUAACUACAGAAGAAGCACCGGCUAACUCCGUGCCAGCAGCCGCGGUAUACGGAGGUGGCGAGCGUUAAUCGGAAUACUGGGCGUAAAGGCACGCAGGCGUGACUAAGUGAGGGUGAAGCCCCGGCUUACCUGGGAAUUGCAUCCACUGGUCCUAAUAUUAGGAGGUAAAUUCCGUGAACGGAAUUCUUGAAUGGAGAUCCAAGCCAAGACGCCUGGAAAAA
rnacentral:rRNA from 1 species